UUGUGGUUAAAAAGCUCGUAGUUGGAUCUCAACAGCCUUGAAGCGGUUAACUUUGUAGUUUUACUGCUUUAUAGGCUGUGCUUUUGCUGGAGGUUUAGGGGUGCUCUUGAUCGAGUGUCUCUGGAUGCCAGCAGGUUUACUUUGAAAAAAUUAGAGUGCUCAAAGCAGGCUAAAAUGCCUGAAUAUUCGUGCAUGGAAUAAUAGAAUAGGAUGUCGAUCCUAUUUUGUUGGUUUUCGGGACUCGACAUAAUGAUAAAUAGGGACAGUCGGGGGCAUUUGUAUUCAAACGACAGAGGUGAAAUUCUUGGACCGUUUGAAGACAAACUACUGCGAAAGCAUUUGCCAAGAAUGUUUUCAUUAAUCAAGAACGAAAGUUAGAGGUUCGAAGGCGAUUAGAUACCGCCCUAGUUCUAACCAUAAACGAUGCCAGCUAGCGAUCUGCCUGCGUUUUUACUGUAGACUGGGCAGGAAGCUUCCGGGAAACCAAAGCAUUUGGGUUCCAGGGGAAGUAUGGUUGCAAAGCUGAAACUUAAAGGAAUUGACGGAAGGGCACCACCAGGAGUGGAGCCUGCGGCUUAAUUUGACUCAACACGGGGAAA
rnacentral:rRNA from 1 species